AUUGAACGCUGGCGGCAGGCUUAACACAUGCAAGUCGAGCGGAGAUGAGGUGCUUGCACCUUAUCUUAGCGGCGGAGGGGUGAGUAAUGCUUAGGAAUCUGCCUAUUAGUGGGGGACAACAUUCCGAAAGGAAUGCUAAUACCGCAUACGCCCUACGGGGGAAAGCAGGGGAUCACUUGUGACCUUGCGUUAAUAGAUGAGCCUAAGUCGGAUUAGCUAGUUGGUGGGGUAAGGGCCUACCAAGGCGACGAUCUGUAGCGGGUCUGAGAGGAUGAUCCGCCACACUGGGACUGAGACACGGCCCAGACUCCUACGGGAGGCAGCAGUGGGGAAUAUUGGACAAUGGGGGGAACCCUGAUCCAGCCAUGCCGCGUGUGUGAAGAAGGCCUUAUGGUUGUAAAGCACUUUAAGCGAGGAGGAGGCUCUUUUGGUUAAUACCCAAGAUGAGUGGACGUUACUCGCAGAAUAAGCACCGGCUAACUCUGUGCCAGCCGCCGCGGUAACAC
rnacentral:rRNA from 1 species